GGGCGAGUGGCGGAAUUGGCAGACGCAAGGGAUUUAAAAUCCCUCGGCCUUAGGGCUAUGAGGGUUCAAGUCCCUCCUUGCCCACCA
rnacentral:tRNA from 1 species